UACGUAGGGUGCAAGCGUUGUCCGGAAUUAUUGGGCGUAAAGAGCUCGUAGGCGGUUUGUCGCGUCUGGUGUGAAAAUCCAGGGCUUAACCCUGGACCUGCAUCGGGUACGGGCAGACUAGAGUGCGGUAGGGGAGAUCGGAAUUCCUGGUGUAGCGGUGAAAUGCGCAGAUAUCAGGAGGAACACCGGUGGCGAAGGCGGAUCUCUGGGCCGUAACUGACGCUGAGGAGCGAAAGCAUGGGGAGCGAACAGGAUUAGA
rnacentral:rRNA from 1 species